rnacentral:rRNA from 1 species
UGGGGAAUAUUGCACAAUGGGCGCAAGCCUGAUGCAGCCAUGCCGCGUGUGUGAAGAAGGCCUUCGGGUUGUAAAGCACUUUCAGCGGGGAGGAAGGCGGUGAGGUUAAUAACCUCAUCGAUUGACGUUACCCGCAGAAGAAGCACCGGCUAACUCCGUGCCAGCAGCCGCGGUAAUACGGAGGGUGCAAGCGUUAAUCGGAAUUACUGGGCGUAAAGCGCACGCAGGCGGUUGAUUGAGUCAGAUGUGAAAUCCCCGGGCUUAACCCGGGAAUUGCAUCUGAUACUGGUCAGCUAGAGUCUUGUAGAGGGGGGUAGAAUUCCAUGUGUAGCGGUGAAAUGCGUAGAGAUGUGGAGGAAUACCGGUGGCGAAGGCGGCCCCCUGGACAAAGACUGGCGCUCAGGUGCGAAAGCGUGGGGAGCAAACAGG